CACGUAGGGUGCGAGCGUUGUUCGGAAUUACUGGGCGUAAAGCGCGCGUAGGCGGCUUUGUAAGUUAGAGGUGAAAGCCCGGAGCUCAACUCCGGAACUGCCUUUAAAACUGCAUCGCUUGAAUCCAGGAGAGGUGAGUGGAAUUCCGAGUGUAGAGGUGAAAUUCGUAGAUAUUCGGAGGAACACCAGUGGCGAAGGCGGCUCACUGGCUCGAUACUGACGCUGAGGUGCGAAAGCGUGGGGAGCAAACAGG
rnacentral:rRNA from 1 species